ensembl:misc_RNA Metazoa_SRP Metazoan signal recognition particle RNA
GCCGGGCGAGGUGGCGGGCGCCUGUAGUCCCAGCUACUCGGAGGCUGAGGCAGGAGAAUGGCUUGAACCCGGGAGGCAGAGCUUGCAGUGAGCCGAGAUCGCGCCACUGCACUCCAGCCUGGGCAACAAAGCCAGACUCCGUCUCAA